ACAGGUGUAGCUCAAGGAGAGCACCCGGUUCUUAACCGGAAGGCGCGCACUGACGAGUGUUUAGGUUCGAUACCCGCCACCUGUA
rnacentral:tRNA from 1 species